GGGUUGUGAGGUUAAGCGACUAAGCGUACACGGUGGAUGCCCUGGCAGUCAGAGGCGAUGAAGGACGUGCUAAUCUGCGAUAAGCGUCGGUGAGGUGAUAUGAACCGUUAUAACCGGCGAUUUCCGAAUGGGGAAACCCAGUGUGUUUCGACACACUAUCAUU
rnacentral:rRNA from 1 species